AAUCCCAUCAGCCACCAGACUCAACAUCUGGACAUCACUCAACUCUGUCACACAUGUUCAGUCCACUGUUGUGGUCCUACUGAAGCUGUGAUCCGAUUGGUCCUCUCUGCUCUGGUGGGCGUGGCUACUGUCAUUCUUGUGCUUUAUCACAUCAGAUCCAGAAGAGCUGAAGGAGAUCAAGCACAUAUUCACACAUCAGGAAGUGCUUAAAUCUGAAGCAGAACGCUGAACUUUAAAGGUUCUUCAAGUGUGUUUUUGUCAUAAUAAAUACUGAUGAUUAUUUGAGCUUCUCUUUCAGUGUCAGAUUUGUAAAACUCUUAUUUGUAAGGCUUUAUUGUUUAUAUUUCUCUCAGAGACACACAGAUCUCACUUUACUACUACUGCUGUAUAUUUGUCAUGUGUAUUUUACACUGUUGUUGAUGAUCAAAUUAAAAUAGCAUCUUUUUAAUGUGUCUGACGGAGUUGACACAAAUUAAGUUCUGAAGUACAUUUUUAGAAGAAAACAUUUUCAGAAAAACCUGUUCAUUAGCUGAGACCUUUGUCUACAAAUAUAUCAGUUUAUAAUAAUGUGUUAUGAAAUAAUAAAAACUAACAUCUCAAA